rnacentral:misc_RNA from 1 species
GAUGAAGAACGUAGUGAAAUGCGAUAAGUAAUGUGAAUUGCAGAAUUCAGUGAAUCAUCGAAUCUUUGAACGCACAUUGCGCCCUCUGGUAUUCCGGGGGGCAUGCCUGUUCGAGCGUCAUUAUAACCACUCAAGCUCUCGCUUGGUAUUGGGGUUCGCGGUUUCGCGGCCCCUAAAAUCAGUGGCGGUGCCUGUCGGCUCUACGCGUAGUAAUACUUCUCGCGAUUGAGUUCGAUAGGUCUACUUGCCAGUAACCCCCAAUUUUUACAGGUUGACCUCGGAUCAGGUAGGGAUACCCGCUGAACUUAAGCAUAUCAAUAACGGAGGA